ensembl:miRNA gmo-mir-92-1 gmo-mir-92-1
AGGUUGGGAGAGGUGACAAUGCUCUGUUUGGGAUGGUAUUGCACUUGUCCCGGCCU